GACGAACGCUGGCGGCGUGCUUAACACAUGCCAGUCGAACGGAAAGGCCCUGCUUUUGUGGGGUGCUCGAGUGGCGAACGGGUGAGUAACACGUGAGUAACCUGCCCUUGACUUUGGGAUAACUUCAGGAAACUGGGGCUAAUACCGGAUAGGAGCUCCUGCUGCAUGGUGGGGGUUGGAAAGUUUCGGCGGUUGGGGAUGGACUCGCGGCUUAUCAGCUUGUUGGUGGGGUAGUGGCUUACCAAGGCUUUGACGGGUAGCCGGCCUGAGAGGGUGACCGGCCACAUUGGGGCUGAGAUACGGCCCAGACUCCUACGGGAGGCAGCAGUGGGGAAUAUUGCACAAUGGGCGGAAGCCUGAUGCAGCAACGCCGCGUGCGGGAUGACGGCCUUCGGGUUGUAAACCGCUUUCGCCUGUGACGAAGCGUGAGUGACGGUAAUGGGUAAAGAAGCACCGGCUAACUACGUG
rnacentral:rRNA from 1 species